rnacentral:rRNA from 1 species
AGAGUUUGAUCCUGGCUCAGAGUGAACGCUGGCGGCGUGCUUAACACAUGCAAGUCGAACGAGAACGGCUCUGAGCUUGUGAGAGUGUCAGCUAAGUGGCGGACGGGUGAGUAAUGUAUAGCUCAACAUGCCCUAUAGAGGGGGAUAGCCACUGGAAACGGUGAUUAAUACCCCAUACUCCUUCUUUAUUAACUAAAGUUGGGAAAGUUUUUCGCUAUAGGAUUGGGCUAUAUGGUAUCAGUUUAGUGGUGGGGUAAGGCCUACCAAGGCGAUGACGCAUAGCGGGUCUGAGAGGAUGAUCCGCCACACUGGAACUGAGACACGGUCCAGUCUCCUACGGGAGGCAGCAGUGGGGAAUAUUGCACAAUGGAGGAAACUCUGAUGCAGCAACGCCGCGUGGAGGAUGACGCAUUGCGGUGUGUAAACUCCUUUUAUAUGGGAAGAUCAAUGCCGGUACCAUAUGAAUAAGCACCGGCUAAAUACCGUGCCAGCAGCCGCGGUAAUACGGAGGGUGCAAGCGUUACUCGGAAUCUACUGGGCGUAAAGCGCGCGCAGGCGGCUUAAUAAGUUAGAAGUGAAAUCCUACAGCUCAACUGUAGAACUGCUUCUAAAACAGCUUAACCUAAGUCUGGGAGAGGUAGCUGGAAUUAGUGGUGUAGGGGUAAAAUCCGCAGAGAUCACUAGGAAUACCGAAAGCGAAGGCAAGCUACUGGAACAGAACUGACGCUGAGGCGCGAAAGCGUGGGGAGCAAACAGGAUUAGAUACCCUGGUAGUCCACGCCCUAAACGAUGGAUGCUAGUCGUUGGUAGGUUAAUCCUAUCAGUGAUGCAGCUAACGCAUUAAGCAUCCCGCCUGGGGAGUACGGUCGCAAGAUUAAAACUCAAAGGAAUAGACGGGGACCCGCACAAGUGGUGGAGCAUGUGGUUUAAUUCGAAGAUACGCGAAGAACCUUACCUGGCCUUGACAUCGCCGGGAACCCUCCAGAGAUGGAGGGGUGCCCCCUUAUGGGGGAGCCCGGUGACAGGUGCUGCACGGCUGUCGUCAGCUCGUGUCGUGAGAUGUUGGGUUAAGUCCCGCAACGAGCGCAACCCUCGUGUUUAGUUGCUAACAGUUAGGCUGAGCACUCUAAACAGACUGCCUGGGUAACCAGGAGGAAGGUGAGGACGACGUCAAGUCAUCAUGGUCCUUACGGCCAGGGCGACACACGUGCUACAAUGGGUAGGACAAUGAGACGCGAUACCGCGAGGUGGAGCAAAUCUGUAAACCUACUCCCAGUUCGGAUUGCAGUCUGCAACUCGACUGCAUGAAGCUGGAAUCACUAGUAAUCGUGAAUCAGCCAUGUCACGGUGAAUACGUUCCCGGGUCUUGUACUCACCGCCCGUCACACCAUGGGAGUUGAUUUCACCCGAAGCGGGGAAGCUAAACUGGCUACCCUCCACGGUGGGAUCAGCGACUGGGGUGAAGUCGUAACAAGGUAACCGU